rnacentral:tRNA from 1 species
CGGGGCGUAGCGCAGUUUGGUAGCGCACCAGUUUCGGGUACUGGGGGUCGGCGGUUCGAGUCCGCCCGCCCCGACCA